GCCCCGGUAGCUCAGUUGGAUAGAGCGAGCGCCUCCUAAGCGCUAGGUCGCAGGUUCGACUCCUGCUCGGGGCGCCA
rnacentral:tRNA from 2 species